GUGGGGAAUAUUGGGCAAUGGGCGAAAGCCUGACCCAGCAACGCCGCGUGAAGGAAGAAGGUCUUCGGAUUGUAAACUUUUUUGACAGGGGACGAAGCAUGACGGUACCCUGAAAACAAGCCACGACUAACUACGUGCCAGCAGUCGCGGUAAUACGUAGGUGGCAAGCGUUAUCCGGAUUUACUGGGUGUAAAGGGUGAGUAGGCGGGUAAACAAGUCAGAUGUGAAAUACAAAGGCUUAACCUUUGAACUGCAUUUGAAACUGUAUAUCUUGAGAGUCGGAGAGGUAAUCGGAAUUCCCGGUGUAGCGGUGAAAUGCGUAGAGAUCGGGAGGAACACCAGUGGCGAAGGCGGAUUACUGGACGACCACUGACGCUGAAGCACGAAAGCGUGGGGAGCAAACAGG
rnacentral:rRNA from 1 species